rnacentral:tRNA from 1 species
UGUCCAGGGAUGGGAAUCGAACCCACAGUGUUCCGCUUACUGGGCAGAUGCCAUGUCCACUAGGCUACCCCUGGAC